GCCGAUAGGGCUGCAUGGUGCAGGUUACUGUGAUAUAGUAGUUGUAAGAUUUUCUUCGUCGGUA
rnacentral:tRNA from 1 species